CUGGAUAAUUUGCCCUUGCUUGUUGGGCUCCUCAGCUCCCAUCUGAGUUGGGUGCCAACUUGUGUUGAGAUCCUGUGGGUCCUUCUGGACUGUGGCUCCUGUUCUUUCGAAGGCAUCCAGAUCUGCUAGGCUCUGAUCCUGGCACCUUACCUGCACAGUAUUGUCCCUCGAGUUUUCAGGAUCCAAGGAGAGAUGUGUGCAGAGAAACUGGUCUAGGGUAUUGUAAAAGGCCAAGUGAUGUGGAGUCCACUACUAACUGCACUGGCAUCAAACGGCAUUGAGAAUUUUCAAUUUGCCCCACCACUGGUAUUCAGGAUGCUUCUGCCUCAUUCACUUUGCUUCAGCAUAUAUCCUUAUGGCAAUGGAUUGUCCAGAUGUUCAAUAUAUUGUACCUCUUAGUUGCUUCAUUGAUGAUUUGGAACCUGGUGCUGUCUUUGUCUGCUGUGACUGAGUCUAGUAAUGCCUGAUAGGUAGACUUCUUUGAGAGCUGCUGCUUCUGACGCCUGUAAAAAGCAAUCUUGCUGCAGUCUUUGAAAUUUUUUUUAUCCACAGCCUCAUCUUCAAUGCUGAUUUCCUCUUUUACGGCUGCUUCCAUGGUUUCCAGUCGUCGGGGCCAGCUCCCUGCGCUCUGUCCAAGGAUGACUGCUCGACUUUCUAAAUUACAACUAACAUUUCAGCGGAAGGGGCGUGUACGCGAUGAGCCCGGAAGAAGGUGAAAUGCUUUCGGUAGACACUCCAUGGUUGUGAAGAUGGCGGUGGCUGCGUGGCUUCAGGUGCUGCCUGUCAUUCUUCUUCUUGGGGCUCAGCCGUCCCCAUGGUCACUUUUCGGUGUAGGACCGGGGACCGUCUCUGCUGCCGAUCGAUCCAAGUGGCACGUUCCGAUACCGUCGGUUGAAAAUUCUUGCGCCUCAUCGAUGAUGAAACUAAC